UCCUCCUGACAAAAUUGCCAGUGUCUCAUUUCACUUCACCAGCACGAUGGCGGAAGCAGUCCCAGGCACCUCCACCUCCUCCGGGCCCAUUACUAACUCGACUCUGCCCCGUACAUAACUGUUUCGUUUGUUCUGCUUCUCCUUAUUUGUCAGCAAUUUUUUUAGCCAUAGAGUUGCGAGGACAGAGCUCGGUUUAAGUGACGUAGCCAUUAAUGAUUGGUCCAGCUACUCCAGGGAAGUAAGUUUUUAUUUUUUAAGUCAAAUUUUUUUAAGUAGGUUUUUUUUUGUAGACAGUUUUGUUAAACUUUGUCACUAACCCUAAUUUCCAUUUCAGGUCAUAGCACAUUGGUGUAUCCGGCAGAAGAAACUCGGGUGGUCCCGGUAUAACUGUUGAGAUCGACGAAGCAAAGUUCGGCAAGAGAAAGUAUAAUGUAGGCCGGGUUGUCGAGGGUCAGUGGGUUUUUGGUGGAGUCUGUAGGCAGAGAAGAGUUUUUUGUAGUGCCAGUAAAAGACAGGAGUGCCGCAACUUAGCUUACUGUGAUUAAGGACUACAUUGUAAAGGGGACCACUUAUUUCUGACUGCUGGAAGGCUUAUGAUUGCCUGGCAGACGAAGGCUACGCUCACUUGACAGUCAACCACACUAACUUUGUGGACCCAGUAACCGGUGCCCAUACAAAUACAAUUGAAAGGCGGUAGAGGGAACUUCGUGAGGCAACGCCUUGGUAUGGCCAUAAAGUAUAACUUUGUCGGGUGGUGUACUUUAAAAUCAACUUCAUGACCCAAAGACGAGGCUCCACGCCUUAGUGGAAGUGGCUGCUGAACUCUAUCCUCCACCCCUUCAAGAUUGUUGUAGACUUAACCCACAGAACAGUAGACUUCACGCCACCAGAUAAUUUGGUACCAGGAAAAUCUUCAAUUCUGUAGUGGGUUUUCCAGUUUCAUUGUCUUGAAUUGAAUACAGUGUUUCCAAGACUGCCUGGUAUAUUUAGGUGAAGUCCGUACAGAUACCGCAAAGCUGUAAUCUUCCUGCAAUGAGCUGGAAAAUUACUUUGUGUUGUUUUUUUUGUAACAAUUUUUAAAAUACAAAUACUUCUGCAGUUUU